rnacentral:rRNA from 1 species
UACGGGAGUGGCAAGCGUUAUCCGGAAUUAUUGGGCGUAAAGCGUCCGCAGGCGGCCUUGAAAGUCUGUCGUUAAAGCGUGGGGCUCAACUCCAUUUCAGCGAUGGAAACUACAAGGCUCGAGUGUGGUAGGGGCAGAGGGAAUUCCCGGUGUAGCGGUGAAAUGCGUAGAUAUCGGGAAGAACACCAGUGGCGAAGGCGCUCUGCUGGGCCAUAACUGACGCUCAUGGACGAAAGCUAGGGGAGCGAAAGGG